rnacentral:rRNA from 1 species
AGAAUCAACGCUGGCGGCGUGCCUAACACAUGCAAGUCGAACGAGAAAGGGACUUCGGUCCUGAGUACAGUGGCGCACGGGUGAGUAACACGUGACUAACCCUACCCUGGAGUGGGGAAUAACUGAGGGAAACCUUAGCUAAUACCGCAUAAUACCUACGGGUCAAAGGAGUAAUUCGCUUCAGGAGGGGGUCGCGGCCGAUUAGCUAGUUGGCGGGGUAAUGGCCCACCAAGGCAAUGAUCGGUAU